GUCGCCGCGUCAAUGUCGUCGUCGCAAGUAUAUUUAUUUUUUCCUAUAUUUUUAUCAUUUAUUGGACAGUCAAAAGUGAUAAUCUUUGUUCCGAACAUUAUUCAAGCACCGGUCGGCAGCACCAUAUCGGCUUCCUCGAAGGUUCACCUGGCGAUGGCGAUCAACGAUAAUAGGAAAACAAUUGCUGACCACAAACGGCACAAUACCUUGCUUCGUGCACCUGGUGACAUGGCGAUCAACGGUUAUAGGAAACAGAAUAUGUAGUUCCGAACCAUCGACGGAGAGAACCAUCUCUGCUCAUUUAACUGACGAUUUCUGACCGCAAACGGCACAAUUCGCUGCUUUGGUCUCGGCUUCGGUAUCAAUAAAUCCUACAGCACAACAGUUUUGCCAUUGGGCACCCAGCACAUCGAUGGAUCGCAAGGCCGGCUGUUACUAAAAUCUCCAAUGGAUUAUAUUUCCGGACAACUGUAAUGAGGAGAGCUAAGCGAUGUUCGUUGCAACUUGCAUGUUGUCUCGUCUUGUUUCCGAUCGCCAGCUUAUGGUGGUGGCCGCGAUGACGACAAGGAAAACAGACGACCAAAUUAACUGGUAAAUGCUCGGGUAAAUGAGAGAGGAAAAUCCAGACCACGAAUCCGUAGAAAAUACAGGAAACGCAAGGGGGAAAUGGCAUGUAGGCGCUAUGGGAAUGCUGAUUUCUUUUUAAACCAAAUCUUCUUCCGAUAAGUGGCAAUAGUUUAAUUAAUCGGUCCAACGACAUAUCCAGUUUCUGAAUGCCGUCAAAUAUCCACACCAGUGCUUUACUUAUUUUCCCGUGCUUGAGGCGCUUGACGAUUGAACAUAUAUACUGCCACGAAGCUACUGUUCAGGGAUAUUCCGUCCCUUCCGAGAUGCUUGGCCUGGCAUUUAGCAACAUGGAAGAUGAAUAUUUAUCGAGAUAUUUUAUUAAAAUGUAGAGUAUGUAUUU